UACGAAGGGGGCGAGCGUUGUUCGGAAUUACUGGGCGUAAAGGGCGCGCAGGCGGCCCUUGAAGUCAGGCGUGAAAGCCCCGGGCUCAACCUGGGAGGUGCGCUUGAUACUCGAGGGCUUGAGUGCGGGAGAGGAGAGUGGAAUUCCUGGUGUAGCGGUGAAAUGCGUAGAUAUCAGGAGGAACACCGGUGGUGUAGACGGCUUUCUGGACCGUAACUGACGCUGAGACACGAAAGCGUGGGUAGCAAACAGG
rnacentral:rRNA from 1 species